GGUCCUUUAAAUGUACCACUGAGCCAGCAAGAAGGUGAAGGAAAAGCCAAAAUCAAAAAGCCAGGAAUUCCUGAAGGCUUGACCCUUCCCAGACCCUGCUCCUGUGACCCAGCCAAUUUUACAGAAUCAGCAUUGCCCAAGUUCAUCGAGCCUUGGCACAUCCAAGUGGUCUUUCAUGACUUCUUCAUUAUAGCACCUCAAAGUUGGUCACUCACCACCAGGGAGAUGCAAAUGAAAACUACAAUGAGAUGUCACUCCACACCUGUCAGAAUGGCUGGAAUCAAAAACACAAGAAACAACAAUGUUGGUGAGGAUGUGGAGGAAAAGGAACCUUCUUGUGCUAUUGUUGGGGGCACAGCCACAGUAGGACACAGUAUGGAGUUUCCCAAAAAAAUUAAAAAUAGAAUUACCCUACAGCCAGUAAUCGCACUACUGGAUAUUUACCCCCCAAAACACAAAAACAACUAAUUCAGAGAGACACAUGUACCCUUAUGUUUACUGCAGCAUUAUCUACAGCAGCCCAAUGAUGGAAGCAGCCCAGGUGUCCAUCAAUAGAUGGAUGGAUAAAGAAGAGGCGGUGUAUAUAAAUAAUGGGACAUUAGUCAGCCACUAAACAUAAUGAAAUCUUGCCAUUUGCAACCACAUGGAUGGAGCUAGAGAGUAUAAUGCUAAGCGAACUGAAGUCUGUCAGAGGAAGACAAAUACUAUGUGAUUUAACU